CCUACGGGUGGCAGCAGUGGGGAAUAUUGCACAAUGGAGGGAACUCUGAUGCAGCGACGCCGCGUGAGUGAAGAAGUAAUUCGUUAUGUAAAGCUCUAUCAGCAGGGAAGAAAGUGACGGUACCUGAAAAAGAAGCUCCGGCUAAAUACGUGCCAGCAGCCGCGGUAAUACGUAUGGAGCAAGCGUUAUCCGGAUUUACUGGGUGUAAAGGGAGCGUAGACGGCAGCGCAAGUCUGGAGUGAAAUGCCGGGGCCCAACCCCGGAACUGCUCUGGAAACUGUGAAGCUGGAGUGCAGGAGAGGUAAGCGGAAUUCCUGGUGUAGCGGUGAAAUGCGUAGAUAUCAGGAGGAACACCGGCGGCGAAGGCGGCUUACUGGACUGUAACUGACGUUGAGGCUCGAAGGCGUGGGGAGCAAACAGGAUUAGAUACCCUGGUAGUC
rnacentral:rRNA from 1 species